CGCGGGGCGGGUGCUAUACAUGCAGUCGAGCGGACAGAAGGGAGCUUGCUCCCGGAUGUUAGCGGCGGACGGGUGAGUAACACGUGGGUAACCUGCCUGUAAGACUGGGAUAACUCCGGGAAACCGGAGCUAAUACCGGAUAGUUCCUUGAACCGCAUGGUUCAAGGAUGAAAGACGGUUUCGGCUGUCACUUACAGAUGGACCCGCGGCGCAUUAGCUAGUUGGUGAGGUAACGGCUCACCAAGGCGACGAUGCGUAGCCGACCUGAGAGGGUGAUCGGCCACACUGGGACUGAGACACGGCCCAGACUCCUACGGGAGGCAGCAGUAGGGAAUCUUCCGCAAUGGACGAAAGUCUGACGGAGCAACGCCGCGUGAGUGAUGAAGGUUUUCGGAUCGUAAAGCUCUGUUGUUAGGGAAGAACAAGUGCAAGAGUAACUGCUUGCACCUUGACGGUACCUAACCAGAAAGCCACGGCUAACUACGUGCCAGCAGCCGCGGUAAUACGUAGGUGGCAAGCGUUGUCCGGAAUUAUUGGGCGUAAAGGGCUCGCAGGCGGUUUCUUAAGUCUGAUGUGAAAGCCCCCGGCUCAACCGGGGAGGGUCAUUGGAAACUGGGAAACUUGAGUGCAGAAGAGGAGAGUGGAAUUCCACGUGUAGCGGUGAAAUGCGUAGAGAUGUGGAGGAACACCAGUGGCGAAGGCGACUCUCUGGUCUGUAACUGACGCUGAGGAGCGAAAGCGUGGGGAGCGAACAGGAUUAGAUACCCUGGUAGUCCACGCCGUAAACGAUGAGUGCUAAGUGUUAGGGGGUUUCCGCCCCUUAGUGCUGCGGCUAAGCAUUAAGCACUCCGCCUGGGGGAGUACGGGUCGCAAGACUGAGCUCAUAGGAAUUGACGGGGGCCCGCCCCAGGCGGUGGAGCAUGUGGUUGAUUUCGGAGCAACGCGAGGAACAUACUUGUCCGUGGACAUGCGUCUGACAGCACUAGAGAUAGGGGCUUUGCCUUCCGUGACAGGAUGGAGAGGAGGUGCAUUGCUGUCGUCUGCUCCUCGUUCUGAGAAUGGAUGGGUUAAGUCACACACAGUCACAACCCUGGACCUAGUUGCUAGCAUUAAAUUGGUCACUCUGAAGGAUGACAUGGC
rnacentral:rRNA from 1 species